GGUUAUGAUUCAUAGUUUCACCAUGCAAUUAGAGUGUUGUGUUCGGUUUCAUUCUGUAUGAGGCGUACUGUAACAAGGCCUUCUUUCAACAUGUGAAAUUCAUGCAUCUAGGCUGAUACCUAAUGGCUAAUGCAAGAAUGGACAGGAGUAUAGUUGGUGUGUUCUACACGCCUAACAGUUUUGCACUUCAAUAGCAUUUGAGGGAUUAUUUAGAAUUAAAAUCUAUAUCUGUAUUAUUUACCUUUCAUAUGGUGCUUUCUUGGAUUUGUUUCUCAAUACAGCUUAGGUUUACCAAUGAAUUUUGUUAUAUCAUCAUGCUAAAUUUACAAUGCAUUUAAUUGAUUAUAGACCAUCAGUUUUUUUUUCCGUAUCACUUAGCCUAUCA
rnacentral:misc_RNA from 1 species